rnacentral:rRNA from 1 species
UACGUAGGGGCCUAGCGUUGUCCGGAAUUAUUGGGCGUAAAGAGCUCGUAGGCGGUUCGGCAAGUCGGAUGUGAAAUCUCCACGCUUAACGUGGAGGGGCCAUUCGAAACUGCUGUGACUCGAGUCCGGUAGGGGAGUGUGGAAUUCCCGGUGUAGCGGUGAAAUGCGCAGAUAUCGGGAGGAACACCAGUAGCGAAGGCGGCACUCUGGGCCGGUACUGAUGCUGAGGAGCGAAAGCGUGGGGAGCAAACGGG